UGGGCGGAAGAUCUGGACUCUCCCAGGCCCAUGGCUGAUGGCCGGACAGGUGCUCCCGGAACUCUCUCUGGCCUCAUUCUGCUGGGACGGGUCCAUCCCCAUCCAAAGCACCCAAAGGCGCCAUAAAGACUAGUAGGACCUAGCUUCUCUUCUGUAUCCCACUACCUGGGCUCAUUGAAGGUCUGUCCCUAACUCAGUGCCCUUAGAGCAGAUCUAGCCCAUGUCUCCAAUCCCAUGUUCUCCAAGCACUUCCUGAGGCCCCACUGUGAGCCAGUUCCUGCCCUCAGGACACCACGGUACCGUUUUGUCUAGUUGGGGCCCAGAGAUUGGACUCUAGAGCUGGGAGGUAAACAGGACUCAAGGGGCCCUCCAAAGUUGAAAUCAGAGAGCCAUCCAAGCUAAUCCACCCACGGCCCAGACAGGGUGACAAAGCUCCGCCUCUAGGCCAGGUUUCCUGCCCUUCAGGCAGAGUCUCAUUUUGUUCUGUGCUGUGUCUGUCUCCUUCCCUGAAAGAGCCCAGCUGGACUUUAAGCCUCUGCUCUAGCUGCUGCCGGCUUCCAAAGAGGCUUACUUGGCAAGCCUCUCACGGUACCUGUGGCCCCAUUCCUGGGCUCCACCACGCAGUGGGCUGGAGAGCAGGUAAGGGGCCUGCCACAGCAGGCAGAGGCCUGGAGGUAGUUCCUAAUGCACAGGGGCUGCAAGCCUACAUCAGUACAGGAAGGACGGCCUUUGCAGCCCUCUGCUCUGACCAUGAGAGGGCUUCCCAGUUCAGAACCCGCUGUUCACCUCAACCUCCCCUGCCUUCCUCUGCAAAUGGAGCAAACUGCUUGGCAUUGAGCCAGAAUCACCAGCGAGCAAAUCUCUUCUUCCAGAACCCCCAUUCUCUGCGUAGCUCCAGUGUGCACCCCACAAUCCUCGCCAUGCACUUCCACUCUUGAGUACAUGGGUUUCACAUGUUCUAGUCCGUGCUCAGGGUCACAUGCAUUUCUAGACAUGGUCCCUCUUCAUACCACAGCCCCCUGUCCUCACACAUCUCACAGACUCCUGGUCGCCUCAUUCACCUGCCUGCUCACUGCACACAAAGCUCUUGGGGCAUCACAGAAUGCUGAGGGUGGCAGGGGGGCCCUGCCUUUGAGCCUUGCCCCUGGCCCUCCCUGACACAGUAGUUCAGUGGGGAUUCUCAAAAGAGCAUGGCCUCAGCUGCAAGAUGGUAACAAUCUAACAGACCCACCCCUACUGUGGAUGGCCACCUUGAUCUGCCCUGCCUACUGCCCACUCAACAGGAGAGAAGUCAGACUCAAACCUUUCUGCCCACACCACGGACUAGUACCACAAGCCCCCUCACACCACAUGGAGGCCUUCCCAAAACCCACAUCUAGCACCUCCAUAAACACUAAGCACCAUAUAUGGCAAGACAAACCCCAAACUCCUACUCUGGGUUUCCAUGUCCCAUGUGCCUGAUCCAGCCUCCCCCCUCCAAUUUAUGUUAAUCCCCUCCCCGCUUCAUACAUAAACACACACUUUCAAAAACAGAUUUUCCAUAAAGUUCAUGGCACCUGACUUUUAAGCACUCCCCCCAGCCUCUUCACUUGCACAACCCACUGAGAGAUCUUCUCCAGGGACCAGGCAAGGGCAUCAGACACACUAUGCUCAGUUUCCCUACUGGAGUGUGAUGGCUGACCAGCCACAUGUGGCCUGCUUUAUGAAGGGGGUGUGUUUAUGGGACAGCAGCCUUUUGGAACAGUGAAGGUUGUGCACAUGAAGGUGUCAGCACCUUUAAUAGCUGCUAUGAGGAACUUGUCCCUUGGGCGAUUUACCCUCUGGGCCCUAGAUCCCCUGGAUGGGCCAGCAGGUGGCUAGGGAGGAACUUUGCUCUGGGGGAUGGGAGCUCUGACUGUCUGGAAGCUUGUGCUGGAAAUUCCAUCAUUUCUUUAGUUCUCUGCUAUGUUACCUAUAAAAUGAAGGGACAUCCGGGCUGGCCUUGGGUUCCUGCAGCUUGACCAGGAAAGGUUCUGGCUGCAUUCUCCAGCUCCUAUUGCUUUGACCUUUGCCUGCUUUCUAAAGUCUGCAUAGACCACUCUGCUCUCCUGGAGAGAGGCCAAGCAGCCCUCACAUCUAAUCUCCUCUUCUCCUAGGUCUUAGGAAAGUGCAUCACUAGCUUUCUGUCUCCCCCAGAGCCUUUGGCACCCUGAGCUGUGUGAGGACUAGACAUGGCCCAGCAUGUGGCGAGCCAGGCUGGUGGGCCUAGUCCUCUCCCACCCUUCACCAUGUGACUUGAGGCAGGGUCCUUCCUCCUCUCCUCUCCCUACAUCUAGGUUCCCCAAAUGGUGGGGUAGCACAACUGGACUGAUGUUCAGUACUGUCCCACCAUUUUUACAUUUACCUCUGUCAGGGCCAUAGGUCCAUGUUACAGAUGAGUCUAGGGGAGCAAGUGGAACUCAGAGUGUUCAUUCACAAAUGCAUUUGAUGUGCCCAUCCCUACCUGCCAGCCUCGCCCCCGUUCCACAUGCCAGGCUGGAACUAAGCAUGAACGGGAAGCGAGAGAGCACAUCGACAACCUUCUCCUGCCCUUGCUAACCUCAGGACCUCAGGGAAGGAGAGGAGCUGAACAAGCCAGUAAUAAAAGUAGAGAAUGAUGAAACAGACAUGGAAGGUGCUAGAGUGGCUGUGUGAGGGGCAAAACUCUCCUAGGACUGUGACCAAUCAUGUGACUGUCAGAUGGGGUCAAGGAAGCCUCCACUUCCACAUUCUGUUAGCCCUGGAAGGAGCUCUGCCUCAGGGAAGCCUGAAGAUGAGCAGGAAACCAACUAGCCCCUCUCCCAGGAGACUAAGAAGCCCAGGGCUAUGCAGAACUUCCCAGACCCCCACUGUCACACUUCGAGGGACCUGGGGCAGUGAAGGAUGAGCUAGAAGAGCCACCUGACUGAGUAAGCACGAUUUCUGGGAGGGGUUCCCCAAACACAACAAGUCAAGAACUGACUCUACAGCAGCCACUGAGACCCUCCUGGAACCUCAUCUCAGACUCAGCCCUCCCCAAAGGAUGAAAAAUAUCUCCAGCUUGGUAGCCCUCGGCAAGUUUCCUCUCAAGCUUCUACAACCAAUUUCCUACCCAUUUCACAAAUGAAGUGACUGAGGCCUGAAGAGGCAAGUCGAUGUUCCAGACCACACACUCAGGUCUUUCUCCUCCGCUGUGUGGCCUUCAGCCACAUGCCAGUCCCUGCAGGUCCACGGCGAAGGAAAAUCUGAGAGGGAGAACCACGACCCCUCUUCUUCAGUGGACAGAAACAGCCUAAGCUGAGUGCAGUCAGGGCAGGACCUGUGCCUAGGCCUACCAUACAGUCAGACUCUCAUUCAAAACCCUUCACAUGCCCUCCUCUGGCUCCUACUGGGCAAGGGACGAGACCAUCGCUGACUCCCAGGAGAUCAGUCUAGGUGGCCAAUUUACAACCCAUUAUUUCAUCCCAAGCUAUUGCAAGUUACAUAGCAACCUGCUACAAUCUCAGAUCUGGCUAGGGGGGUGUGGCGGGGGGCAGGGGACACAGAGGGAUCCCUGAGCUGCAGAGAGAACCCAGAGAGGGAAAACUUCAUGAAGAAGGAAGCAUCUGAGCUGAGAGUCAAGGGAAGAGUGGACCUUGGUCCAGUGCACAAGAUGAAGGAUGGCACCCCAGGCCCAGGUACUGCAAAUGUAUGGCCCAACAGAAAAAACAAUGGGGAUCCCUAAGCAGGCUGGGAUACCUGGUGUGCAGAGCAGAAUCCUGGACUCCAGACCUACCAGGGAUCCCCUCACCCAAAUGGCAGCGGGUAGUGACAGUCCGAAGAACCAGUAUGGGUGUGAGGGUACUUCUUACGGCCUGGAUGCCUACUCAGCCGUGCUGGCAGGAGAGAAGGCCUACCCCAAGUGGCUCGGAAGUCCAGCAGCCUCUGUGGCUCUGACCAGCAGUGACGAGGACAUCUCCUGGUCGUUAAUCACAGCAUGUGUUAAUGUUUGAUAAAUUGCCCAACAGUUGCAUUAGCUAAUAACUCUCCGAACAAAACCAGAGAAUUCAUCUGUUUUUAUAAGAGGCCCAAGAGCAUCCUGGGAACAGGCACGGUGGUCGUGAAUAAAAGAGAAACAUUCAUUUAUGGUAA